rnacentral:pre_miRNA from 1 species
UGAUGAUGAUGAUGAUGAUGAUGAUGAUGAUGUUGACGGCGAUGACAAUGAUUAGAUGAUAAUGACAAAAGUUAUAAUAAUAAUAUAAUUGUCAUCAUCAUCAUCAUCACCAUCAUCAUCAUCAUCAUCAUCAUCAUCAUCA